rnacentral:ncRNA from 1 species
CGGGGCAGGGCAGACGCCCCGUCAGACGGUCUUCCGUCCAAGUUCUGC